UGGGGAAUUUUGGACAAUGGGCGAAAGCCUGAUCCAGCAAUGCCGCGUGUGUGAAGAAGGCCUUCGGGUUGUAAAGCACUUUUGUCCGGAAAGAAAUGGCUCUGGUUAAUACCUGGGGUCGAUGACGGUACCGGAAGAAUAAGGACCGGCUAACUACGUGCCAGCAGCCGCGGUAAUACGUAGGGUCCAAGCGUUAAUCGGAAUUACUGGGCGUAAAGCGUGCGCAGGCGGUUGUGCAAGACCGAUGUGAAAUCCCGAGCUUAACUUGGGAAUUGCAUUGGUGACUGCACGGCUAGAGUGUGUCAGAGGGGGGUAGAAUUCCACGUGUAGCAGUGAAAUGCGUAGAGAUGUGGAGGGAAUACCGAUGGCGAAGGCAGCCCCCUGGGAUAACACUGACGCUCAUGCACGAAAGCGUGGGGAGCAAACAGGAUUAGAUACCCUGGUAGUCCACGCCCUAAACGAUGUCAACUAGUUGUUGGGGAUUCAUUUCCUUAGUAACGUAGCUAACGCGUGAAGUUGACCGCCUGGGGAGUACGGUCGCAAGAUUAAAAGCUCAAAUGAA
rnacentral:rRNA from 1 species